rnacentral:rRNA from 1 species
GCAAGUCGAACGAAGUAGCAAUACUUAGUGGCAGACGGGUGAGUAACAUGUAGGUAUCUACCCUUUGGCCUGGAAUAACACGAGGAAACUUGUGCUAAUACCGGAUAAGUCUUUACGGAGAAAGCUUUAUGCACCAUUGGAUGAGCCUGCACUUGAUUAGUUUGUUGGUAGGGUAAUGGCCUACCAAGACUGUGAUCAAUAGCUGAUUUGAGAGGAUGAUCAGCCACAUUGGGACUGAGACACGGCCCAAACUCCUACGGGAGGCAGCAGUGGGGAAUCUUGCACAAUGGAGGAAACUCUGAUGCAGCGAUGCCGCGUGAGUGAAGAAGGCCCUUGGGUUGUAAAGCUCUUUCGUCGGGGAAGAAAAUGACUGUACCCGAAUAAGAAGGUCCGGCUAACUUCGUGCCAGCAGCCGCGGUAAUACGAAGGGACCUAGCGCAGUUCGGAAUUACUGGGCUUAAAGAGUUCGUAGGUGGUUGAAAAAGUUGGUGGUGAAAUCCCAGAGCUUAACUCUGGAACUGCCAUCAAAACUUUUCAGCUAGAGUUUGAUAGAGGAAAGCAGAAUUUCUAGUGUAGAGGUGAAAUUCGUAGAUAUUAGAAAGAAUACCAAUUGCGAAGGCAGCUUUCUGGAUCAUUACUGACACUGAGGAACGAAAGCAUGGGUAGCGAAGAGGAUUAGAUACCCUCGUAGUCCAUGCCGUANACGAUGUGUGUUAGACGUUGGAAAUUUAUUUUCAGUGUCGCAGCGAAAGCGAUAAACACACCGCCUGGGGAGUACGACCCGCAAGUUAAAACUCAAAUGAAUUGACGGGGACCCGCACAAGUAG